CCCUGGUGGGUGGGGGGGCGCCGGCAGAGCACCGGGAGGUCUGGGCUUACUGGCAGUCGGAGCCACACGGGCCGCCAGGUCCUGGAAACGCUCUCGUGUGGGUCCUUUCCGCUCGGCAGCACCCACGGCGGCAGCUGCGUGAGGACGCCCGGGGAGCCCCUGCCCUGCUCCUCCGCCCUCAUCACGGCCGGCUCCUCAACGGCGUCACUUUCCAGUUUUGACAUUUGGCCCCGUCUCCCCCGAGCUUUGCGAGGAGAGAAGCCUCCAAGUUCAGAAUCACGUCAGUCGCUGCGCCUGAAGUUGUUCCCGGGCCUGUGCCACCCUUGAGCGAUGUCGUCCCAGCCUCCCUGAUCUCCGACCCCGUGCUGGCGGCCCCUGGCGCACCCCCACGUCCAUGAGGAGCAGCUGGCCCCUGUGGCAGGAUGAGGUGGACCCCCCCAUGUGCCCCCAAAGGGCUGUCUCCGGGAAACGGGGGAGCAGGGGCCAGGAAGUGGUGGGCCAAGGGCAUGACGACCACCUCCAGGAUCUCCUCGCAGUGGCAGGACUCCAGCGGGAUGAUGUCCUCCUGCGACGGGCUCAUCUUGGUUAUGAGGACGUCG